AGCCAAUCAGGGGCUGGCUGAAACUAGUUAAAAGCCUCCCGGUUAGUCAGGAGUUGUGGUGUUGAAGAGACUGAGUUGUACACAUCAGAGCAGGCACAAGGAAGGUGGCCCUGAGGUUCACCUUCAACCAGCUGUGCUUCAUCCAUGUACUGAUUUCAACCAAGCAUUGGACCAUCUUGGUGAUAGCGGUCUGGUCAUAUGUGGGACAGCGGUAUCUCAUGGUCAACAGCAUUCAGUGAUGCAGAGAGAUCCAGGAGGAUGAGAACGGAUGGCUGCCCUCUAUCCAUUGACAGCAGAAGAUCAUAUACUUGGGAUCAGAAUCUGAAGCAAUGAGGGCAGGGAAAUUGCUGCAAUUCCUGUCUCUGUCACUGUGCAACCUGACUUUUUUAAAUUCACUGUUUUUAAAAAAGAUGUGCGGUAUCCAUGACACCCUUAACUUACUCAACUGGUGCUUUCAUGAGCAGAAACUCCAAGGCAUUGUCAAAAGCAACCCUAAGGACAUCUGUAAUUAAAGUGUAUAAAUCACAUCCCAAGGACUUAUGCUGAACACUUUUGGAAAGUGCAUGCAAGGAUUUACCAAAUUAUUUAGGACUAAGUGUGCCAAAAUAAUAUUUUACUCAAGAAAAUGCCACAAAACUGUUCAGGAAAUAGCACUCAAAUUGAAUGAUUGUCUCCAUAUUUGACAAACACUAUUAACCUCAAUAGGAGAUGGAACAGGUCUUAAUGGUAAAACUCCAGUUAUCUUUAAUAAGAGCAGGAGUGGACCCUUAUUACUACUAUUCAAUUUUCUUGUUUACCUUGGCCAGCAAUCUCACUGGUCCAGUGCACAAAAAUAAAGUCCUGGCCAAGAACUAGCAAGAUAUCUCCUAAAGUACUUCAGGUAUCAUACCUGGCAGCAGUCCUCAAAUUUCAAUGGUCAGAUUCCAAUCUGAGUCUAUUGCCACACACCUUAGAAAAAAAAUCUAUUCACA